UACGGGGGGGGCAAGCGUUGUUCGGAAUUACUGGGCGUAAAGGGCUCGUAGGCGGCCAACUAAGUCGGAUGUGAAAUCCCCAGGCUUAACCUGGGAACUGCAUCCGAUACUGGAUGGCUUGAAUCCGGGAGAGGGAUGCGGAAUUCCAGGUGUAGCGGUGAAAUGCGUAGAUAUCUGGAGGAACACCGGUGGCGAAGGCGGCAUCCUGGACCCGCAUUGACGCUGAGGAGCGAAAGCCAGGGGAGCAAACGGG
rnacentral:rRNA from 1 species